rnacentral:misc_RNA from 1 species
GAUGAAGAACGUAGCGAAAUGCGAUACUUGGUGUGAAUUGCAGAAUCCCGUGAACCAUCGAGUCUUUGAACGCAAGUUGCGCCUCAAGCCAUUAGGUUGAGGGCACGUCUGCCUGGGCGUCACAUAUCGUUGCCUGAUGCCAGUUUCCUCGUGAUGGGUGACUGUGCAGGGCGAAUGAUGGCUUCCCGUGAGCAUUGUUGCCUCAUGGUUGGUUGAAAAUUGAGUCCUUGGUAGGGAGCGCCGUGAUAGAUGGUGGUUGUGUGACGAACGAGACCCAAUCAUGUGAGACCCCUACCGAAUUUGGCCUUCAUGACCCACAUGCGUCUUUGGAACGCUCAUGACGAGACCUCAGGUCAGGCGGGGCUACCCGCUGAGUUUAAGCAUAUCACUAAGCGGAGGA